rnacentral:rRNA from 1 species
GAUGAACGCUGGCGGCGUGCCUAAUACAUGCAAGUCGAGCGAACAGAUGAGAAGCUUGCUUCUCUGAUGUUAGCGGCGGACGGGUGAGUAACACGUGGGUAACCUACCUAUAAGACUGGGAUAACUCCGGGAAACCGGGGCUAAUACCGGAUAAUAUUUUGAACCGCAUGGUUCAAUAGUGAAAGACGGUUUCGGCUGUCACUUAUAGAUGGACCCGCGCCGUAUUAGCUAGUUGGUAAGGUAACGGCUUACCAAGGCGACGAUACGUAGCCGACCUGAGGGGGUGGUCGGCCACGCUGGAACUGAGACACGGUCCAGACUCCUACGGGAGGCAGCAGUAGGGAAUCUUCCGCAAUGGGCGGAAGCCUGACGGAGCAACGCCGCGUGGGUGAUGAAGGUCUUCGGAUCGUAAAACUCUGUUGUUAGGAAAGAACGAAUUUGUUAGUAACUGAACAAGUCUUGACGGUACCUAACCAGAAAGCCACGGCUAACUACGUGCCAGCCGCCGCUGUAA